GGAAGUGCUUGGCCACAGUCGCAGCCCCGGCGCCCCGAAGCGGGAAAAAGGCUGGGUGCCGCCGUCCCCCAGCUGCGCAACCCUAGGAACUCUCGGCAAAAAAAAAGAGCAUGAGGAAUUUGAAGACUGAGAGAUGAGUUGUGUAGCACCAACAUUUUCUUUCUGCCUGACCUUCAUACCUGAUGAAUUAAAAGGUGAUGAUACAGUGUUUUGGUGUCCCAAAGAAAUAAAAUCCAGCACUGUCCAAUUGAAGUAUAAUGCAAGCCACAUUUCUAGUAGCCAUAUUUUAAAAAGUAACAAUAAAGUGUUGAAAUUUACCUUAAUACUGCCUUUUUUAACCAAAUAGGUCCAAAAUAUUAUUAUUUUGACAGGCAUUAUGAGUUGAGUUGUGUCCCCCACAAAAUUCAUGUUGAAGCCCUAACCAGCAGUACCACAGAAUGUGACUAUAUUGAGAGAUGGGGUUUUAAAAGAAGUAAUUAAGUUAAAAUGGUUUCAUUAGGGUGGGCCCUAAUCCAAUAUAACUGAUGUUCUUAUAACAAGAGGCAAUAUGGACAUGGGCACACACAGAGGGAAGAUCAUGUGAUGACAUGAGUCAAGAAGAGAGGCCUCAGAAGAAACCAACCUGACAACACCUGGAUCUCAGACUUCUACCUUCUAGAAUUGUGAAAAAUACAUUUAUCUUGCUUAACCCACCUAGUCUAUGAUAAUUUGUUAUGGCAUCUCUAGCAAACUAAUACAAUAUGUAAUCAAUUAAUGAAAAUAAAAUGUAUUAAUAAG
rnacentral:lncRNA from 1 species